rnacentral:rRNA from 1 species
CAGCAGCCGCGGGAAAACAGAGGGUGCGAGCGUUAAUCGGAUUUACUGGGCGUAAAGCGUGCGUAGGCGGCUUCUUAAGUCGGAUGUGAAAUCCCUGAGAUUAACUUAGGAAUUGCAUUCGAUACUGGGAAGCUAGAGUAUGGGAGAGGAUGGUAGAAUUCCAGGUGUAGCGGUGAAAUGCGUAGAGAUCUGGAGGAAUACCGAUGGCGAAGGCAGCCAUCUGGCCUAAUACUGACGCUGAGGUACGAAAGCAUGGGGAGCAAACAGGAUUAGAUACCCCGGUAGUCCCUGUCUCUUAUAC